UGCCAUGGUUUUGAUAUCCGUCCCCGUCGGCCCUAGUCCUUGUUAUGAUUCGGAUGUGGAGGUAUCUGAACCUGAAAUUCCAACCAACCCUAUUGCUGAGAGGUUAAAUUUAGUUGAAAGAGAAAACGAGUACUUGAAAGAAAAA